rnacentral:tRNA from 1 species
AGAUAAUUAAUUUAAUGAUAAAAUAUUUAAUUUACAAUUAAAAAACAAUGGUUUAAUUCCAUUAUUAUCUAG